rnacentral:rRNA from 1 species
UACGGAGGAGGCAAGCGUUAUCCGGAAUUAUUGGGCGUAAAGCGUCCGUAGGUGGUUGGCCAAGUCUGCUGUCAAAGGGUGGGGCUUAACCUCAUAAAGGCAGUGGAAAGUGGCGAGCUAGAGUGCGGUAGGGGUAGGGGGAAUUCCCAGUGUAGCGGUGAAAUGCGUAGAGAUUGGGAAGAACAUCGGUGGCGAAAGCGCCCUGCUGGGCCUGCACUGACACUGAGAGACGAAAGCUAGUGGAGCGAAAGGG